rnacentral:rRNA from 1 species
CCAACAGGGAUUGCCCUAGUAACGGCGAGUGAAGCGGCAAUAGCUCAAAUUUGAAAGCUGGCCUUUGGUCCGCAUUGUAAUUUGUAGAGGAUGCUUUUAGGCAGCCGCCGGUCUAAGUUCCUUGGAACAGGACGUCAUAGAGGGUGAGAAUCCCGUAUGUGACCGGCUCAGGCACCUUCUGUAAAGCUCCUUCGACGAGUCGAGUUGUUUGGGAAUGCAGCUCUAAAUGGGAGGUAAAUUUCUUCUAAAGCUAAAUACCGGCGAGAGACCGAUAGCGCACAAGUAGAGUGAUCGAAAGAUGAAAAGCACUUUGGAAAGAGAGUUAAAAAGCACGUGAAAUUGUUGAAAGGGAAGCGCUUGCAAUCAGACUUGGGCUUGGCUGUUCAACCGGUCUUCUGACCGGCCCACUCAGCCUUGCCCAGGCCAGCAUCAGUUUCGGCGGCCGGAUAAAGGCCCUGGGAACGUAGCUGCCCCCUCGGGGGCAGUGUUAUAGCCCAGGGUGUAAUACGGCCAGCCGGGACUGAGGUCCGCGCUUCGGCUAGGAUGCUGGCGUAAUGGUUGUAAGCGGCCCGUCUUGAAACACGGACCAAGGAGUCUAACAUCUAUGCGAGUGUUAGGGUGUCAAACCCUUACGCGUAAUGAAAGUGAACGGAGGUGGGAACCCGCAAGGGCGCACCAUCGACCGAUCCUGAUGUCUUCGGAUGGAUUUGAGUAUGAGCAUAGCUGUUGGGACCCGAAAGAUGGUGAACUAUGCCUGAAUAGGGUGAAGCCAGAGGAAACUCUGGUGGAGGCUCGCAGCGGUUCUGACGUGCAAAUCGAUCGUCAAAUUUGGGUAUAGGGGCGAAAGACUAAUCGA